rnacentral:rRNA from 1 species
UACGUAGGGGGCAAGCGUUGUCCGGAAUCAUUGGGCGUAAAGAGCGUGUAGGCGGCCCGGUAAGUCCGCUGUGAAAGUCCAUGGCUCAACCCUGGGAUGCCGGUGGAUACUGUCGGGCUCGAGUCCGGAAGAGGCGAGUGGAAUUCCUGGUGUAGCGGUGAAAUGCGCAGAUAUCAGGAGGAACACCAAUGGCGAAGGCAGCUCGCUGGGACGUGACUGACGCUGAGACGCGAAAGCGUGGGGAGCAAACAGG